rnacentral:rRNA from 1 species
CACGUAGGCGGCUUUGCAAGUCCCAUGUGAAAGCCCACGGCUUAACCGUGGAAGUGCAUGGGAAACUGCAGAGCUUGAGUACUUAAGAGGAUCGCGGAAUUCCCGGUGUAGAGGUGAAAUUCGUAGAUAUCGGGAGGAACACCAGUGGCGAAGGCGGCGAUCUGGGAAGAUACUGACGCUGAGGUGCGAAAGCGUGGGGAGCAAACA